CCUACGGGAGGCAGCAGUGGGGAAUAUUGGGCAAUGGGCGCAAGCCUGACCCAGCAACGCCGCGUGAAGGAAGAAGGCUUUCGGGUUGUAAACUUCUUUUUAGACGGAAGAGCAGAAGACUGUACCUCUUGAAUAAGCCACGCCUAACUACGUGCCAUCAGCCGCCGUAAUACGUAGGUGCCAAGCGUUGUCCGGAUUUACUGCGUGUAACGGGCUUGUUGCCGGACUGGCAAGUCAGAUGUGAAAUCCCGUGGCUCAACCACGGAACUGCAUUUGAAACUGUUGAUCUUGAGAAUCGGUGAGGUAGGCGGAAUGGAUAGUGUAGCGGUGAAAUGCGUAGAGAUUAGGAGGAACACCGGUGGCGAAGGCGGCUUGCUAGACGACAACUGACGGUGAGGCGCGAAAGCGUGGGGAGCAAACAGGAUUAGAUACCCGGGUAGUC
rnacentral:rRNA from 1 species